GGAGACGUGGGUGAGUGGCUGAAACCAGCGGUUUGCUAAACCGCCGUACCGGGAUUACUGGUACCGAGGGUUCGAAUCCCUCCGUCUCCGCCA
rnacentral:tRNA from 11 species